rnacentral:rRNA from 1 species
AGGGUUUUGAUCCUGGCUCAGGAUGAACGCUGGCGGUGCGCCUAAUGCAUGCAAGUCGAGCGACGCACACUCAGUCCGUAAGGACAGGGUAUGACGGAGCGGCGAACGGGUGAGUAACACGUGAGCAACCUGCCCCACAGAUCGGGAUAGCCCAGGGAAACCUGGAUUAAUACCGAAUAUUCUCCUUGGACCACAUGGUCCGCUGAGGAAAUGCCUUUGUGCUGUGGGAUGGGCUCGCGACUUAUCAGUUAGUUGGUGGGGUAACGGCCUACCAAGACAAUGACGAGUAGCUGGUCUGAGAGGACGAUCAGCCACACUGGAACUGAGACACGGUCCAGACUCCUACGGGAGGCAGCAGCAGGGAAUCUUGCGCAAUGGACGAAAGUCUGACGCAGCGACACCGCGUGGGGGAUGAAGGCCUUCGGGUUGUAAACCCCUUUUAGGAGGGAAGAAAUUGACGGUACCUCCAGAAAAAGGACCGGCCAACUACGUGCCAGCAGCCGCGGUAAUACGUAGGGUCCGAGCGUUAUCCGGAAUCAUUGGGCGUAAAGAGCUCGUAGGCGGUUCAGCAAGUCGGCUGUGAAAGUUCGAGGCUCAACCUCGAAAUUGCAGUCGAUACUGCUGUGACUUGAAUUCGGUAGAGGAGAAUGGAAUUCCCGGUGUAGCGGUGAAAUGCGCAGAUAUCGGGAGGAACACCAGUAGCGA